rnacentral:rRNA from 1 species
AGUGAACGCUGGCGGUAGGCCUAACACAUGCAAGUCGAACGGCAGCACAGUAAGAGCUUGCUCUUACGGGUGGCGAGUGGCGGACGGGUGAGGAAUACAUCGGAAUCUACUUUUUCGUGGGGGAUAACGUAGGGAAACUUACGCUAAUACCGCAUACGACCUACGGGUGAAAGCAGGGGAUCUUCGGACCUUGCGCGAUUGAAUGAGCCGAUGUCGGAUUAGCUAGUUGGCGGGGUAAAGGCCCACCAAGGCGACGAUCCGUAGCUGGUCUGAGAGGAUGAUCAGCCACACUGGAGCUGAGACACGGUCCAGACUCCUACGGGAGGCAGCAGUGGGGAAUAUUGGACAAUGGGCGCGAGCCUGAUCCAGCCAUACCGCGUGGGUGAAGAAGGCCUUCGGGUUGUAAAGCCCUUUUGUUGGGAAAGAAAAGCAGCAGGUUAAUACCCCGCUGUUCUGACGGUACCCAAAGAAUAAGCACCGGCUAACUUCGUG